AAAUUGAAGAGUUUGAUCAUGGCUCAGAUUGAACGCUGGCGGCAGGCCUAACACAUGCAAGUCGAACGGUAACAGGAAGCAGCUUGCUGCUUCGCUGACGAGUGGCGGACGGGUGAGUAAUGUCUGGGAAACUGCCUGAUGGAGGGGGAUAACUACUGGAAACGGUGGCUAAUACCGCAUAACGUCGCAAGACCAAAGAGGGGGACCUUCGGGCCUCUUGCCAUCAGAUGUGCCCAGAUGGGAUUAGCUUGUUGGUGAGGUAACGGCUCACCAAGGCGACGAUCCCUAGCUGGUCUGAGAGGAUGACCAGCCACACUGGAACUGAGACACGGUCCAGACUCCUACGGGAGGCAGCAGUGGGGAAUAUUGCACAAUGGGCGCAAGCCUGAUGCAGCCAUGCCGCGUGUAUGAAGAAGGCCUUCGGGUUGUAAAGUACUUUCAGCGGGGAGGAAGGUGUUGUGGUUAAUAACCACAGCAAUUGACGUUACCCGCAGAAGAAGCACCGGCUAACUCCGUGCCAGCAGCCGCGGUAAUACGGAGGGUGCAAGCGUUAAUCGGAAUUACUGGGCGUAAAGCGCACGCAGGCGGUCUGUCAAGUCGGAUGUGAAAUCCCCGGGCUCAACCUGGGAACUGCAUUCGAAACUGGCAGGCUUGAGUCUUGUAGAGGGGGGUAGAAUUCCAGGUGUAGCGGUGAAAUGCGUAGAGAUCUGGAGGAAUACCGGUGGCGAAGGCGGCCCCCUGGACAAAGACUGACGCUCAGGUGCGAAAGCGUGGGGAGCAAACAGGAUUAGAUACCCUGGUAGUCCACGCCGUAAACGAUGUCUACUUGGAGGUUGUGCCCUUGAGGCGUGGCUUCCGGAGCUAACGCGUUAAGUAGACCGCCUGGGGAGUACGGCCGCAAGGUUAAAACUCAAAUGAAUUGACGGGGGCCCGCACAAGCGGUGGAGCAUGUGGUUUAAUUCGAUGCAACGCGAAGAACCUUACCUGGUCUUGACAUCCACGGAAGUUUUCAGAGAUGAGAAUGUGCCUUCGGGAACCGUGAGACAGGUGCUGCAUGGCUGUCGUCAGCUCGUGUUGUGAAAUGUUGGGUUAAGUCCCGCAACGAGCGCAACCCUUAUCCUUUGUUGCCAGCGGU
rnacentral:rRNA from 1 species